UGCAAGUGUUAUCCGGAAUCACUGGGCGUAAAGCGUCUGUAGGUGGUCAAAUAAGUCAACUGUUAAAUCUUGAGGCUCAACCUCAAAAUCGCAGUCGAAACUAUUAGACUAGAGUAUAGUAGGGGUAAAGGGAAUUUCCAGUGGAGCGGUGAAAUGCGUAGAGAUUGGAAAGAACACCGAUGGCGAAGGCACUUUACUGGGCUAUUACUAACACUCAGAGACGAAAGCUAGGGUAGCAAAUGGG
rnacentral:rRNA from 1 species